CUCUCUCUCUCAUUUUAUUCUAAUUGUCACACGUUUUUACAUCUCUUGCUUCAGUCAAUGGCAUUCCACUGUGUCAUUUCAAUUAAGCCAUUUAUUUUUUUGUCUUCAUUUAAUUUCAUUCGUAACUCAUUUGUUUACGAGUUUGGUUUCAUAAUUUUUCAAUGAACCGAACCACACUCACGCACUUUCAUUCACUGUUGUAAUAAUUGCUUCCUUGGCUGUAAAAUCAAACCAAUCUUUAUUAUUCACUAUUGACAAAACGUUUAUAGUUUAAUAUUUUCAUUCUACAUUCUCUUUCCUCCUCUUUUCCUUCUCCUCCUCGUGCUCCUUUUCUUCAACCUCCUCAGCACUGUCUUUUCUUCCUCCUUAUCAUCCUUUUUUCCUUUCUUUUUCUUUUUAUCAUUUCCAUAUUCAUCUUUUCCCCCGUGUUAUUUCUUACUUUUUUCUUCUUCUUCUUCUUCUGUUUCUUUAUGCCGUGUCAGUAAAUUCAGAACACUAUUAUUCAGCGUUGUAAUUAUUCGCGCCUGUAAAACCCUGUAAAAAACCUUCGUUGUAUGUUAUUCGUUGUUAUUUGUUCGUUAUAUUAUUCGUUACGUCAGUCAUAUGGUGUUUGGAGUGUAGACGUUCCUUCCUUCGUUAUAAGCAUACGCAAAUAAGAAAGGACGGACGUAUUGUUAUUAUUAUUAUUAUUAUUAUUACGAAACAGUGACGAAAAGAAAGGCAUAGUAAUUAGUAAACUCAUUAGUCAACCCGUGGGAAGGAAGAAUAACACACACACACACACACACACACACACACACACACACACACACACACACACACACACACAGAGAGAGAGAGAGAGAGAGAGAGAGAGAGAGAGAGAGAGAGAGAGAGAGAGAGAGAGAGAGAGAGAGAGAGAGAGAGAGAGAGAGAGAGAGAGCGCAAGUAUUUUUUUUUCCUUCAAGGCGCAGACACUUUCGUAAUCUACCCCCAGGCUCUUGAAAUCACCAUGGAAAGCCCUAAUUUUUCUACGAGAGCAUUUAAAUUGAAGUACUAAGACGUCAAAACCUUUAAUAAUAUGCCUCAGGGUUGGUAUUCUCAGACCCUUCCACCUUUCACAUCAACUAUUUCUAAAAGCCAAAAAGGAGAUCAAUCGGAUUCUCAUGAGUGUUUUUUUAAGGUUCGUGGUAUAGAAGAAGGGUCAGACUACAACCAGGGACAUUAAACUACCCCUGGAAAUGCCCCAAACCCCUACGACAGCCUUGUUAAAUAUGUGUGCGUGCGUGGCGAGGCGUUGUAGAAUAUGCCCCCAAGUUCCGUGAUUCUUGGCGCACCCACGCUGUGUUCGGGUCAGCUUGGUUCACCUUGGUUAGGCCUAGGCUGAGUUUGGGCACGCGGCCUACCCAGUGCCCAGCCUAACGUCGUAAGAGUCUGUACUAGCAGCAAUAAAGUGGCUGAUUUGUUUUCUUGUGAGCCGUUUUUCAAGGUGUGGAGAGUUGGUUUUGUUGAUUGUACUGUAUUGUAAUGGUAUAAGAACAUGACGUAUACUAAUUAAGGCGUGGAGAGUUGUUUUUGUUGAUUGUACUGUAUUGUAAUGGUAUAAGAACAUGACGUAUAUUAAUUAAGGCGUGGAGAGUUACUUUUGUUGAUUGUACUGUAUUGUAAUGGUAUAAGAACAUGACGUAUAUUAAUUAAGGCGUGGAGAGUUACUUUUGUUGAUUGUACUGUAUUGUAAUGGUAUAAGAACAUGACGUACACUAAUUAAGGCGUGGAGAGUUACUUUUGUUGAUUGUACUGUAUUGUAAUGGUAUAAGAACAUGACGUAUAUUAAUUAAGACAUGGAGAGUUACAUUUGUUGAUGGUACUGUAUUGUAAUGGUAUAAGAACAUGACGUAUAUUAAUUAAGGCGUGGAGAGUUACUUUUAUUGAUUGUACUGUAUUGUAAUGGUAUAAAAACAUGACGUAUACGCGUGUUGCAAGUAGUGGAGUAAUGCUAUCAACAAUUAAGUAACGAUGUGUGUGUGUGUAUUUGUGUGUGUGUGUGCUGGCCUGUCCAUGCAUUAUCCUUAUGGAGUGAGUGGGGACAGGACGGCAGGAGUCAGGCAGGCAAUGGGGAAGGGCCGUCCGUUCGAGGCUUUCACUGCGGCACUCCACUCCAAUCGGACCCAUGAAAGUUUACGAGCAACUCACGGGGUCGGGAGGUGUGUGUGUGUGUGUGUGUGACGGACCAGGCCAAACACCAUGGAAGGCCGGCGUCUGUACCCACGACCCAUUAACUUAACGUAUCUCACCGCGUUUAAUGAGGAAAUGCAUUAGUGAUAGUCUGGCUUUGGGCUUAUAUCGAAGACCACAAUAGGUAUAAGUCUGUGUUUUUUUGGGUCUUUAAUACCUCCACGCCGCCCUCGAUGUUGAUUAAAUUCCCCUCAGAUUUUGAUGAGGCUAAGUAGGGAAAAGCUGGAAUGUCUCUAUGUUUGUUAUUAGCGACAAGAGGAUUUAUGAAGUGUAUGAAAAAAUGCAUAAGUGUGGCCUUUACGAACCUCAGUUUUCUAAGGGUCAUGUUCUUAACCAUGUCGACGUCCUGGAACACAUAUCUGCCAAGGCUUUCCCAGGAGUUUUAGACAUUUCCAGGGGCAGUUUUAUGACCCUGGUGUUAGUUUGACCCUUCUUCUGUACCGUGAACCUACUUUUAUGACCCUGGUGUUAGUUUGACCCUUCUUCUGUACCGUGAACCUACUUUUAUGACCCUGGUGUUAGUUUGACCCUUCUUCUGUACCGUGAACCUACUUUUAUGACCCUGGUGUUAGAUUGACCCUUCUUCUGUACCGUGAACCUACUUUUAUGACCCUGGUGAUAGUUUGACCCUUCUUCUGCACCGUGAACCUACUUUUAUGACCCUGGUGUUAGAUUGACCCUUCUUCUGUACCGUGAACGUAAAAAAAAAAAAAAACUCAUUAGAACCCGAUUGAUCUCCUUUUUGACCUUUGGAAUUAACUGAUGUGAGGUGUGGAAGCGUCUGACAAUACUACAAUCUACUUAGGUUUACCAUUGUACACCCUUCCAUAUAAGCCCAAGCUCUUAGGACAAUGAAUAUAAUUAGAAAAACUCCAAUUUUCAUCCAGGUCUCGCCCUCCCCUUGGAAAUUACUAACGCCUCUCUUGAAAGCCACGCCCCUCAGAUUAAGAACCGCUGUUAUAAGCUAUACAAGCAGCCACUCCAGGUCCAGAGAUAUUCCAGUUUUGCCCUUGGUCUCGCCCUCCCCUUGGAAAUUACUAUUGUGUUCCAAAUAUGUCGAGGCCGGUCUGGCGUAGGCUUCCGCGGGUCCUUUCCUCCCCUCUGCUCUGCCACACAGUCCCAACACCUGUCUCUUCCUUUCAUAUGUAAGCUAUAGGUAACAUAUGAGAGGAAAAAAUAGGUGUUGGGACUGUGUGGCAGAGCAGAGCGGAGAACUGGACCCGCGGGAGCCAACGCCAAAAUGGACUCGACAAUUUGGUUUCACUAUAACGCCCGUCUUGGAAGCCGCGCCCCCGAGAUGAGAGCCGCAGUUAUAAGCAAUACAAGCAGCCACUCGGGGUCCAGAGAUAUUCCAGUUUUGCCCUAGGUCUCGCUCUCCCCUUGGAAAUUACUAAUGCCCCUCUUGAAAGCCGCGCCCCCGAGAUGAGAGCCGCAGUUAUAAGCAAUACAAGCAGCCACUCGGGGUCCAGAGAUAUCCCAGUUUUGCCCUAGGUCUCGCUCUCCCCUUGGAAAUUACUAAUGCCCCUCUUGUAAGCCGCGCCCCCCAGAUGAAAGCCGCUGUUAUAAGCAAUACAAGCAGCCACUCGGGGUCCAGAGAUAUUCCAGUUUUGCCCUAGGUCUCGCUCUCCCCUUGGAAAUUACUAAUGCCCCUCUUGUAAGCCGCGCCCCCGAGAUGAGAGCCGCAGUUAUAAGCAAUACAAGCAGCCACUUCGGGUCAAGAGAUAUUCCAGUUUUGCCCUAGGUCUCGCUCUCCCCUUGGAAAUUACUAAUGCCCCUCUUGUAAGCCGCGCCCCCGAGAUGAGAGCCGCAGUUAUAAGCAAUACAAGCAGCCACUCGGGGUCCAGAGAUAUUCCAGUUUUGCCCUAGGUCUCGCUCUCCCCUUGGAAAUUACUAAUGCCCCUCUUGUAAGCCGCGCCCCCGAGAUGAGAGCCGCAGUUAUAAGCAAUACAAGCAGCCACUCGGGGUCCACAGAUAUUCCAGUUUUGCCCUAGGUCUCGCCCGCCCCUUGGAAAUUACUAACGCCCCUCUUGGAAGCCACGACCCCCAGAUUAAGAACCGCUGGAAUAAGCUAUACAAACAGCCACUUUGGAGUCCUUUUGUUCUUAAGAGGACCCCAAAGAAAGAUUAAUGGAGUAGAUAUAAUUAUCGCUCUUUCGUUCCUUUCUUUUUCAUAGUCCUCGGUGUAAUAGAGUAUAGGCCUUAGAUCAGGAGAAAGCUUAUGUGAGUGACCAUUAUUGAGCUUAGUGCGUGUUAGGUAUAAAGGAAAGCAGAGCGAAUCCCACCAACAGAUGAGAGAAAAAACACUUCGGCCCAAAAAGGUGCUUUCUAUUUUCGAUCAAUCAAUCAAUCAGCCAGUCAGUCAGCCCAUCAAUCCAUCUCUCUCUCUCU